GCCCUGCUAGCUCAAUCGGUAGAGCGUGAGACUUUUACAAACCUGUUGAAGCAGUUGGACGACCGUAUUUGCAAUCGUGGCUUACGGAAUCUCAAGGCUGCGGGUUCGAGCCCCGCGUGGGGCU